CUCCAAAGCCUUCUGAAGAGAAUUAAUCUUUUCCUUACCAUAUGGAGGAUUAUUUUUCCUCCAAACCGAUAGUUCAUGCCUACAGUUGAUAAUCUUAUCUACAAUAUCCGAACUAUACCGUGGAUUUUCCGUAGACCAACCUUGCGAAUGGAGUCCAUAAGCCCUUCCAUACCAUUCCAUCGCUUGUCAAAACGAAAUUGUUUCCUUGUUUUGAUUAGUUUCUCAUCUAGUCUUGUAACAAUGGGCCUGUGAUCCAAACCUAUCAUUCCCAAAUAUUCCACAAAAGAGGACGGGAAUAGAUUAUGCCAUUCUACAUUCCCUAAAGCCCAAUCUAACCUACACCGAACCAUUUGUCCUUGUCUCCUCCCACUCC
rnacentral:lncRNA from 1 species